rnacentral:rRNA from 1 species
GAUGAACGCUGGCGGCGUGCCUAACACAUGCAAGUCGAGCGGCAGCGCGGGGUGCUUGCACCCUGUCGGCGAGCGGCGGACGGCUGAGUAACGCGUGGGAACGUGCCCCAAAGUGAGGAAUAACUGCGCGAAAGGGUAGCUAAUACCGCAUAUUAUCUUCGGAUCAAAGGAUUUAUCCGCUUUGGGAGCGGCUCGCGUCGGAUUAGGUAGUUGGUGAGGUAAUGGCUCACCAAGCCGACGAUCCGUAGCUGGUCUGAGAGGAUGACCAGCCAGACUGGAACUGAGACACGGUCCAGAAUCCUACGGGAGGCAGCAGUGAGGAAUCUUCCACAAUGGGCGAAAGCCUGAUGGAGCAACGCCGCGUGCAAGACGAAGGCCUUCGGGUUGUAAACUGCUUUUAUAAGUGAGGAAUAUGACGGUAACUUAUGAAUAAGGAUCGGUUAACUACGUG